AGCUCCAAUAGCGUAUACUAACGUUGUUGCAGUUAAAAAGCUCGUAGUUGGAUUUCUGUUGCGGCGAGUCGGCCGGCUCUUCGGAGUUGUAGCUAGAUUUCGUUGCAGCAUCUUGUCGUAAUUACCACUGGCAUUCAUUUGUUGGUGCGUAGGACCGACUCGUUUACUUUGAGAAAAUUAGGAUGUUCAAAGUGGGCUAUCGCCUUGAAUAUAUUAGCAUGGAAUAAUAAUAUAGGACUUUUGGUUCUAUUUUGUUGGUUGUUCGAGAACCAAAGUAAUGAUUGAUAGGGACGUUGGGGGCAUCAGUAUUCUGAAGCGAGAGGUGAAAUUCUUGGACCUUCGGAAGACUAACAGCUGCGAAAGCGUUUGCCUAGGAUGUUCUCUUUAAUCAAGAACGAAAGU
rnacentral:rRNA from 1 species